rnacentral:tRNA from 1 species
AACCCAGCCGAACUUCAGGCGAGGUCUACGGAACCGAAGGUCGCAGGUUCGAAUCCUGCCGGG